UACGUAGGGGGCAAGCGUUGUCCGGAAUUAUUGGGCGUAAAGCGCGCGCAGGCGGUUUCUUAUGUCUGGUGUGAAAGCCCGCAGCUCAACUGCGGAGGGCCACUGGAAACUGGGAGACUUGAGUGUAGGAGAGGAGAGCGGAAUUCCACGUGUAGCGGUGAAAUGCGUAGAUAUGUGGAGGAACACCCGUGGCGAAAGCGGCUCUCUGGCCUAUAACUGACGCUGAGGCGCGAAAGCGUGGGGAGCGAACAGG
rnacentral:rRNA from 1 species